CUCUUACAGAGCUGAGGCUUCUCAGAGAAUAAUGUGGAAAAUGCUCUUCGAACAUAAAUGUAACUGGUUCACAAACUGUAACUUGGCCAGCCUCUUCUGGGAGAGGGGGCAUAGUGUCAUUGGCUCUCUAUUGUGGUUUGCAGGGCAGCAAGGGGCAGAGGGAUCAUGAGCAACAGCUGUCUCCAGGCUCUUGAACUACUUGGCAGGGCAUUUGUGCAUGUCUCAAGCCUGUUCCUUAGGAGCUGUGCCCUUAUUUGAGCCAGAACUACACAAAGGCAUUGUCCUCAAACACUGGGUCUCCUCUUUCUUGACUGGCCCUGUUUACCCAUUCAUCAGCAGGUGGUGGCUGGAACAUUCCCCUUUGAUUUUGUGGUUCAGGAGCGGCAAGCUAAGACCUAAGCUGAAUAAACAUAGUAUCAUUUGGCACUGGCAAGAUUCCUGGUAGUCCGGGUCAGGAGAGGUUUAAGGAGGAUUAGGUUUAGAUUAGAAAAGGGGUUGAGUUAUUUUUUUUCCCUGUGGUUUCUCUUAAGUGCCUUAGGGUUUUGUAAGAGGAAAGUGGGCUGACAGCCUGGACUCAGUUGCUCCAGAGAUAAAAGUGGUGAGCUCAGUGUUCUUUUCUGGACCAUCAGGAGGGUAUGUUCUUCUCCUGAACAUGGUUUUUCCCAUGAGACUCAUGAGUUCCUGGGAAUCUGCUGAAAGCUCUAAACCUUUUCUCUAGAAAACUGGGGGCAUCUGUGCACAAGCACGCACGGGCAGGUACACAAGGGCACGCCCACACCUGCUUGCGCGUGCGCAUACAUCUGAUUUGACUUACUCGCAGGCGUUCCUGAAAUUCACCAGCCAGAAAAUUUUCAAGAGCCUACACAACUCACUUUUCAGAGAGACCUCACCCUUCCCAGAGUGAUUUGCUACCAUGUAUUGAGAGAAGACUGGAUGAUGCUACAUUGCCACAUGAUACCAUAAGAACUCAAUAUUUCUGACCACGGAUAUCAGAACACACAUCAUUCCUGCUGCAGCUCUGACAGUGAGAACAAGGACUGUCCUGGGCAGAUGACCUUCUGCCUCCACCUCUUUGCACUUCUGUUCAUCCUUUUUUAAACACCAGUUUUAUGACCCCAGACAGAUCCACAGUCACCCUCCUCCCAACUCCACAAGAGGCCUUCCAAGACCAGCAGAUAAAUCUGGCUCAGGCUCAAGGAAGGAAGUCAGCUGCAUUUGCUCUGCGUGCUGGUGUGCACGAGACCUUGUGUGUGCCCUCUAGAAGUGGAGCCCCUGUUUCCUACCAUCCCCCACCCCUGUCCUGUGGAGCUCCUACAAUCAGGCCCCACUGGCCUUCAAAGCCAGAUCUGCUGAGGGCUCCUCCAUUCAAUGCCAGGCCCCUAGACUGGGUAGCCUGAUGUGGAACUCAGAGCUCUCAGCUCUGUGGGAGAAUUUCUGUGAUGUAAUUAGUCUCUAGAUUGUGGGUCACCCACCCAGGUAGUAUGGGAUUUAAUUACAUUGCAAAGUACACCCC
ensembl:lncRNA